rnacentral:rRNA from 1 species
UACAGAGGUCUCAAGCGUUUGUUCGGAUUCAUUGGGCGUAAAGGGCGCGUAGGCGGCGGGGUAAGUCGGGUGUGAAAUCUCAGAGCUCAACUCUGAAACUGCACUCGAUACUGCUCUGCUUGAGGACUGGAGAGGAGACUGGAAUUCACGGUGUAGCAGUGAAAUACGUAGAUAUCGUGAGGAAGACCAGUGGCGAAGGCGGGGUCUCUGGACAGUUC